AGAGAGUCUGCAAUCUUUUUAUAAAUAGUUAUAACUAGGUCACCCAAAACAUACCUUUCUUCUAUCGAUUCCUCUUCUCUCCAAAUCCAUUAUUCUCGUGGUUUCUGGUCUUUUAUUCUUUUAAAAUACUUAAGACAAAGUAAGGACUACAUAGUCUGAUGUAUUUUUCCUCCACUUGACAAAGGAUAGAAUUUAAGGCAAGCUCCAAGUCUCAUUUUCAGAAUACUUACCUGUCCGCCUGUUCCUUCACUUCUAAUCUCAUGAUGCCCUCUCAUCUUGCACUGAGCAUCGCUCAAUAGGCAUGGAAAUGGAGAGUGGAGAAAGACUGUGUUUAACCCCUUAAGGACACACCUUCAGGAAUAAAAGGGAAUCAUGACGGAAUAUUCCGUUAAAAAUAAUACAUUGAGAACAUAUAGAGUUGGGGGGACUAUAACAAAAUACAGGAUCAGCCCAUGACAGUGCCUCUUUAAUGACAUUUAGGGUUAGGUUUAGAAUUAUUGGGAUAAUUAUGAUGUCAAAAUCUUGACUGCUUUAUCAUAUGCCCUUAACUGCUCCCCACAUUGUAAGAAGAAAAUUGCCUACUUCCAUCGUCCGAAUUUAUCAGGUAAUUCAGCAUUCAUAGUUGGUUACGGUGUGUGUGUGUACAUAUACAUAUAUAUAUAUAAAAUGGAUGUACUGGGGUGUCCAGCUGAAUAAAAAGGGAGUGAGGAGUGGAGACACUUUCAUAUGAAUAAAUUCAAAAGUGAAAAUGCAAUAUGUGUUAAAUGUAUAUAGAAUUAUCCCUGCUAACUUUGACAGAAGUUGGUGGUAAACUUAUCAUUAAAAUAGUUUCAAAUGUAACGGUGGCGUUGUUUCAUCAGAUGGCUUUUCUGUUCCAGGAAGGAAAGUCAAACAAUUCUGUCUCAACGAGGGCACAUCUCUAUUUCGACCCUAUAAUUUUAAAACCUAACACUAACAGUAGAAAUCGGCGAUAAAAUGUUUGAGUGAAGAGAUGAUUUCAUGUGAAAUAGCCAUGAAUGUCUACAUUUGCAUCUGGGAUGCCAUGAGGCGAGGGUAACUUGUAGGUGCAGUCAUCUCCGGUGGUCAAAAUAAGUCCAAAUAUCCAGUACGACAUUACGAGAUAUUCAUUUUAUUCAGGUGCCCAUACAAUGACAGAUAGCACGUCGACCAUGUUACAUGUUUUUAUCCGUUUAGAUAAAGUCACUGCUGGAUUUUACCGCAUAAUCAGAACAGUUCUAAGCUCUGUUUUUCUUCCUGCAGAUAACGUGAUCAAUGGACAAGACUUCGAGGUGAUGAUGCAAAUUGAUUGUGAAGUAAUGGACACACGGAUUUUACACGUUAAAUCCUCUUCUAUUCCACCCUUUCUCAGAGAGCAUCGAGAGAACCAAACCAAUUCAUUCUACAACUCUCCCACUGCUGGCUCGGAAGCACCCCAGGUUGUAGGUGCAAUCAGCGAGUCUCCUCUAUGAAGAAAGACAUUCCUUCUGAUUAUUUCUGGUUUCCAUUCGUUUUUAUUAUCUAUAUUUUGCGUUGUAGUUGCAGAGCUUUUCACUAAAGUGAGAAUUGCCAGGAAUUUAGUGAGAAUUUCAAAUUUAAGAAGCAUAUCAGAGAAUUGAAGAGUUUGGCUAAUGUGGCCUUAAAUGUGAAAUGAAUUCCCAACAAAUCUCACUUUAGUCUUCACCCUGUUGGUGAAGUAAUUAUUUGUGUUUAUCGAUAGGGAUAAGCUAAUUCCAUCUCAGAUAAGAUUUUCCAUCUGACAGAAAGCGUUCGUAUGAGCUACACUCAUUCAAAAAUGUGGUACUCAUCCAAAUAAAAUUCCUUUUAGUUUAUACGGGAACAAAUAAUUCCUGAAUCUCCAAGCUGAUCUUACCUGUACAGGUAAACCACAGGUAGAUUGAUUCAGAAUCAGGAAAUUUAUUUGGACAAACCUGCUCAAACUAACUUUCGCUACUCCACUUUGAAGUACAACAAGGCUGGCUAGUAAGUGUUCAGUGCCAUCUGCCUUCACUUUAUUAAAUCCAGCUAGAUUUUUUAUUCUUAUUUUUAAACUUACCUUGGCCCCUUUUCAUUUGGGCCGCUUACCAAAUUAUGGCCUCGAUUUAACGUUUCCAAAAUGAUUCACUACUAAAUUAUCUACGGAAGUCACCAUUAAAGUCAAUGGGAAUUUUUGUAGAUACAUUUGUACAGUUUUUCGAACAUGAUUGAAUAAUUUGGAAAGCUUACUAAAUGGAGGCCUAUAUUUAAAGCAUUGAUUUAGCAUGCCCCUACUAUCAGCAGGAAUUGCAUGUUAAAGUACAUGUUAAAGUUUUGGAUGUCCACCAAACGUUCGGAUGCUAGUAGGUGUAGAUUCGAACUACACAAUUCAGGUAAAAAGGACUGCAAAUGCAUUAUUUUAAUGAUACACUUCCCUGAAGAUCACUUCCUCCACCAUGAUGUCUUCUGGCAUUGCGCAGUGCGACAGUGAAUGCCUUAUUUAUAUAUUUAAAUUGUAUCUUUAUUUUUUUACUUCUGUACGAAUGAUGGAGCAGAUUAACUAAAAUAAAAACCCUUCCUCGUUAGCCGAAGCAGUGGAUGUGUUUCCAUACCUUUUAGAAAGUAUUUUCACAGUUCAACGCAAACAGUAUCUACCGAGUGUCAGAGCUCAAUGUGGCAAUCACUUUAGUUUGUUGAAGUGCUUUAUGUAUGAAGAGUUUUUUUUAUUUUAUUUUAUUUAUAUGUUUUACAAAAACAGAUUACUUCCUGGUUUGUUUAGCUCAGUGGAGAUAAACCCAAGAGGCAGAUAAUUGCAACUAUUCAUUGAGCUGCAUUGGGAUGUCUGUGAUUGGACAG
rnacentral:lncRNA from 1 species